UGCCCAGCAACUCCUAUCCCUACCUCCUCGCGGUACCGGCCGGAAACUGAGCGUCUGUUCUCCAGGAGGAGC
rnacentral:ribozyme from 1 species